GAUGAGCGCUGGCGGCGUGCUUAACACAUGCAAGUCGAACGAAGCACUUUAUUUGAUUUCCUUCGGGACUGAUUAUUUUGUGACUGAGUGGCGGACGGGUGAGUAACGCGUGGGUAACCUGCCUUGUACAGGGGGAUAACAGUUGGAAACGGCUGCUAAUACCGCAUAAGCGCACAGCAUCGCAUGAUGCAGUGUGAAAAACUCCGGUGGUAUAAGAUGGACCCGCGUUGGAUUAGCUAGUUGGUGAGGUAACGGCCCACCAAGGCGACGAUCCAUAGCCGACCUGAGAGGGUGACCGGCCACAUUGGGACUGAGACACGGCCCAAACUCCUACGGGAGGCAGCAGUGGGGAAUAUUGCACAAUGGGCGAAAGCCUGAUGCAGCGACGCCGCGUGAGCGAAGAAGUAUUUCGGUAUGUAAAGCUCUAUCAGCAGGGAAGAUAAUGACGGUACCUGACUAAGAAGCACCGGCUAAAUACGUG
rnacentral:rRNA from 1 species